rnacentral:rRNA from 1 species
ACGUAGGGGGCAAGCGUUAUCCGGAUUCAUUGGGCGUAAAGCGCUCGUAGGCGGUCUGUUAGGUCGGGAGUUAAAUCCGGGGGCUCAACCCCCGCUCGCUCCCGAUACCGGCAGACUUGAGUUUGGUAGGGGAAGGUGGAAUUCCUAGUGUAGCGGUGGAAUGCGCAGAUAUUAGGAAGAACACCAGUGGCGAAGGCGGCCUUCUGGGCCAUAACUGACGCUGAGGAGCGAAAGCUAGGGGAGCAAACAG